rnacentral:ncRNA from 2 species
AUUAAAUAUCUGGACAUGAGUGAUUUUUCCUGAGGGAAAAAUUUAAAAGGGAAGUUAGUGCAAGCUAACGCGGUACCCGCCACUGUAAGAGGGAGUUAACUUACAUAGUGUCACUGGGGAUAUACCUGGGAAGACGUAAGUUGAUGAAGAUCUUGAGCCAGGAGACCUGCUCAUACCAAACAUUACGA